AGCCUGGUGGUGUAGUUGGAAACACGCUCUCUUCUAUUAACUGCUUCUCUAAAGUCAAUUGGAGAAAGUUCCUUGUUCGAAUCAAGGCCAGGCUG